AGUGCGCAAAUGAGGAAAUUCUAUUGGUAAAUGGUAAUGUGCGUCUAAAUACUUCGUUGAUGUUAACACCAUGGAGAUCUGGUGCCCAGA